rnacentral:rRNA from 1 species
GAUGAACGCUGGCGGCGUGCCUAAUACAUGCAAGUCGAGCGAAUGGAUAAGAGCUUGCUCUUAUGAAGUUAGCGGCGGACGGGUGAGUAACACGUGGGUAACCUGCCCAUAAGACUGGGAUAACUCCGGGAAACCGGGGCUAAUACCGGAUAACAUUUUGAACCGCAUGGUUCGAAAUUGAAAGGCGGCUUCGGCUGUUACUUAUGGAUGGACCCGCGUCGCAUUAGCUGGUUGGUGAGGUAACGGCUCACCAAGGCAACGAUGCGUAGCCGACCUGAGAGGGUGAUCGGCCACACUGGGACUGAGACACGGCCCAGACUCCUACGGGAGGCAGCAGUAGGGAAUCUUCCGCAAAGGACGAAAGUCUGACGGAGCAACGCCGCGUGAGUGAUGAAGGCUUUCGGGUCGUAAAACUCUGUUGUUAGGGAAGAACAAGUGCUAGUUGAAUAAGCUGGCACCUUGACGGUACCUAACCAGAAAGCCACGGCUAACUACGUGCCAGCCGCCGCAGUAA